AUAACGUUCAUUCUGGAUAUCUGCAAUUGAAUUCUUACUAGGAAAAACUCAUUUGUUACUAGUCAUAAUAUUAAUUUCAGAUAUCUGAAAGGAUACCACCAUUUUAGAUAUCCAUAAUGUAAUUUUGAAUAUCCAAAAUAGAUUGUGACUAGCAAAAAUGUCUUUAUGGAUAUGCACAAUUCAUAUUAUGACUAGUAAAAUGCAAUUUCAGAUAUCUACAAUUAGAAUUAUAACUAGGAACAACGCAAUUGCAGAUAUCUACAAAUGUAUUGUGGAUAUCUGUUGAAGAGUAAAUAAGAGGCCGUUUUAUCAUAAAAACGAUCCAUUGACUAUCCACAAUUACAUCUUAGAUAUACAUAAUACAGGGUUCCCGCGGGGUCUUAAAAAGUCUAAAAUUCAGAAAGUUAAAUUUAAGGCCUUAAAAUGUCUUAAAAAUGCCCAGAUUUUCAUCUUAGGUCUUAAAUUUAAUUUACCCAAGUCUUAAAAUUCUUACCUCCAUUAAUUCCCAAAAAGCGUUUUCCGCAGAAAAUAAAAUAGUAAAACGCUGUAAAACAAGACACUGGUCUGCACCGAUGUCUGUGUGGUAAUAAAACUACAAAUCCCAUUGCGUGAUCACUGCAGCUAGGCAAACAAACAGUUCGGAAAACUUGAGAGCCCUGUGUCACUACCGAAAAUGUAACUUACGCUACUACACAUAUGCAUGCUUACGACUUCUGGAAGGUGGCGUGCUAUUUUUACGGCAUCGCGUCACAUUUCAUUGUUGAUUUUUGAUGAGAAUGUCCACAGCGAGAGGAAAGAGAAGAUUUAACCGGAUAAUGAUGAAGACCUUUGACUGUAAAAGAUUUUAUUUCGCACAGGGCAUUAAUACCCAAUGUGCCUCAGAAGGAGUGACGUAAAAUAUGGCGUACGGCCAUCAAUUUUACAGUCAAAGGUGACAUUAAUGUUUUUCUUUAUGUGCUAAAUGAAAUUACCAUUAUGUAUUACACGCAGUUCGAUGUGCUGUGAAGUUACUUAAACUAAGCCUUCUUUUUUCUCCUUAGUCAUUUCUUAUUUGUAUCAGUGUAAUUACCACACACUCAUGUCAGUUAUGGCAGCUGUGUGUUGUGGUGCUAAAUGAAGCAAAUGAUAUUUGUUUUAUUUUGGGCCAAACCGCACAUCCAUGCGUUUAGUUGUUUACGUUGUGCAAAUAAAAGUUCUUUACUAUUAUUUUGGUGUGAUUUUAGAAAAUGCUGUACAUAUAUCACAACCCCUUGAUAAACAAAAUAAGAUUUAAAAUGGCCUAAAGUAUAAUAAAAAAAAAAACAUUAACCAGAUGUACAGGAAUUAGGGUAAAUAAUGCCCAUGUCCAUAACUAAGGGGAGCAUUUUGUUAGCUUCCUUUCCCUUCAUUUUAGCCCAGCAGGCAAAGGAAAACGACUUCCUUCUUCAAACACAAGGUUAAAAAUUCAAACAACAGGUUAAAAAUUUUGGUUCAUGAAUAUAGAACAAUUUUGAUAUACACCCCAAUUUUAUUACGUUUUCUAAAGAAAAGGCAUCUAUUCAGCAAUACCAUUUGGACAAAAUCUUAUGUAAGAUUACUGUCAGGCACUAAAUGCAAACACAGAUGCAAACCAUUACAAAUGGCAAAGCAAAAUGGUUUAAAUACCACAAUAAAGUGACGGCUGAACUACAAAUAUAAACAUCGAUGACCCAUCUCACAAUACGUGACCAAUGAAUGAUGAUACACGACGUCCACGUCCCUGAAUCACGCAAUCACGGUCUGCCGCAAAAUGUUCAGUAUCCAGCCUGUAGAAGUGUACAUUACCGGAAAUUACAUUUUCGGUAGUGACACCCUGUUGUCAAGCGUAUAGCUUUUAAAGAUGGGUAAGUGUGUGUUUAACGGCGCUUGGCUCGAUAAUGGCAAUUUUUGCAGCUGGUUACAAGCUGUCCCCAGCAGUAGGCAUGAGGCUCGCUGCAAAGUCUGCAAGAAGGUAAUACAGUCGGGGACAUUGGGUGUAAAGGCGCUGGAGUCUCAUGCCAAAGCAGACAAACACCAGCUUGCCAUGAAAAGCCUUCAGCGGAGUCAGACCAUCUCACAGUUUUGUGCCCCAUCCCAGCAGCCAUCUACAUCAUCGUCGCUUGGUCCCUCCGGACUCCACGUUACAUCUUCGUCGACCUUCAUAGACCUAAUGAUCUUCGGGCUACUUUCGGGUCAACCGAGACCUCAAAAUCUGAGGUACUUUGGAUUCUCCACACAGUGACAAAACAUUUGUCAUAUAACAGCAGUGAUGAUAUUGGUGACCUUUUCCAGACAAUGUUCCCCGACUCAAACAUUGCAAAAACGUUUACCUGCGGACCAAACAAAAUCGCUUAUAUAGCAAGAUUUGGCAUAGCGGACUUCAUCAAGAGAGAUCUAAUUAACACCAUUAGCGGACAGCAUGUCUUGAUGUUCAACGAGAGCUUCAACUCAUCCACCAAAUCCAAGCAGCUGGAUCUCCACGUUCGUUUCUGGAGCAAUGGGGAGGUGCGGUCGAGAUAUCUGGGCUCUCAGUUCAUGGGACAUGGGACAGCGCAGGACCUUCUGAAGCACAUCGAAGAGGCAUUGCAUCCAUUGGACCGCAGCAAUCUCAUUUCAGUCUCUAUGGAUGGGCCCAAUGUCAAUUGGAAGCUUUUGGACCUACUCCAACAGGACCAUGCACAAAUGGUGUCCGUAGGCAGCUGUGGACUCCACACACUUCAUAACGCCUUCAAGGCUGGAUUUUCGAUGUGGAAUGUGGAUAAAGUUUAAAAGGCCAUGCACACUGUUUUCCACAACGUUCCUGCAAGGAGGGAGGACUACAAACAAAUCACAAAAUGUACUCUGUUUCCCAAGCCAUUUUGUGGCCACAGGUGGCUUGAAAAUCUCCCAGUUGUUGAACGGGCUCUGGCAGUCUGGCCAUCUCUCAUGCUGUAUGUGUGACGCUAAACCCCAAGACGGCAUCUUUUGACACCAUUGAGGCAGCCAUUAAGGAUCCCCUUAUGACAGCGAAGAUGCACUUUUUCAUGACUGUGGCCAGGACCUUCCACCCAUUCAUGAAGAUGUACCAGACCGAUGAACCUGUGAUGCCUUUCCUUGGCAAAGACUUGGCUGAGUUGAUUAAGAGUCUACUGAGACGCUGUGUGAAGAGAGAGGUCCUCCAAGACAUCACUCCCUUUCAGCUCACAAAGCUUGAUACAUCUGACAAGACCUUGCUCCUUCUUCCCCAGAAGAUUGAUAUCGGCUUGGGUGCUGAGGCAGCAGUCAAGGGGAUGCCAUUGUCCAACAAUUUGAAUCUUUCCUGUCUGUUGAGGCGAGAAAUGAAGAAUUUCUUGCCUUCCAGGCAUUUGAGAGACGCCUAGACACCUUCCUGCGUGAGAGAUUAAGCCGACCCUACCCUGCUGCUUGGGACUUUUGCCAGAAAUUACUGCUGCUUUCACAUGGCCAGGCCUCUGUUGAAAGGGGAUUUUCUAUCAACAAGGAGGUGGAGACCGAAAACAUGCAAGAACACACAAUCGUUGCACAAAGGUUGAUAUGUGACUAUGUUGCAAUGCAUGGGGGUAUCACUCAGGUCCCCCUCACCAAGGAACUUAUGGCAUCUGUGGGUGCAGCUCGGUCAAAAUACCGCCUCUUUCUGGACGAAGAGCGCAUCACAAAAGAAAAGGAAUCCCAGAGCCAGAAAAGAAAGCUGGCUGAGCAGUCUCUGCAGGACCUUAAGAAAAGGAAGACAAGCUUGGAGGAUGUGUCCGCCUGUCUUGUCAGAGAGGCAGAUGUACUUGCAGAAGAAGCUGAGAGGCGGGCUGGCUCCAAGAUGGCUCAACUUCUCUUCAAGUCCAAUGCCCUGAGAAGGGCGUACAAAGAAAAACUUGCUGAACUGAAAGUCCUUGAAACUGAAAUCGGUGCUAAAGGGGAUGAACUCCAGCAUAUGCAGGAUUAGGUUGUAUGUGCUAGGCUAGUGUUGUGUUGGGAAUAUGUAUGUCAAGUUCUAUCAUUUUAAGUAUUUUGAUUAUCUGUUUUAAUAUUGAAUCAAUAAAAAUAGAAUGUUUUGAGAA